UCGAACGAAGUCUUCGGACUUAGUGGCGGACGGGUGAGUAACACGUGGGAACGUGCCUUUAGGUUCGGAAUAACUCAGGGAAACUUGUGCUAAUACCGAAUGUGCCCUUCGGGGGAAAGAUUUAUCGCCUUUAGAGCGGCCCGCGUCUGAUUAGCUAGUUGGUGAGGUAAAGGCUCACCAAGGCGACGAUCAGUAGCCGGUCUGAGAGGAUGAUCAGCCACAUUGGGACUGAGACACGGCCCAAACUCCUACGGGAGGCAGCAGUGGGGAAUCUUGCGCAAUGGGCGAAAGCCUGACGCAGCCAUGCCGCGUGAAUGAUGAAGGUCUUAGGAUUGUAAAAUUCUUUCACCGGGGACGAUAAUGACGGUACCCGGAGAAGAAGCCCCGGCUAACUUCGUGCCAGCAGCCGCGGUAAUACGAAGGGGGCUAGCGUUGCUCGGAAUUACUGGGCGUAAAGGGAGCGUAGGCGGACAUUUAAGUCAGGGGUGAAAUCCCGGGGCUCAACCUCGGAAUUGCCUUUGAUACUGGGUGUCUUGAGUGUGAGAGAGGUAUGUGGAACUCCGAGUGUAGAGGUGAAAUUCGUAGAUAUUCGGAAGAACACCAGUGGCGAAGGCGACAUACUGGUUCAUUACUGACGCUGAGGCUCGAAAGCGUGGGGAGCAAACAGGAUUAGAUACCCUGGUAGUCCACGCCGUAAACGAUGAUUGCUAGUUGUCGGGAUGCAUGCAUUUCGGUGACGCAGCUAACGCAUUAAGCAAUCCGCCUGGGGAGUACGGUCGC
rnacentral:rRNA from 1 species